rnacentral:misc_RNA from 1 species
UUUCCGUAGGUGAACCUGCGGAAGGAUCAUUAAAAAAUAUCACUCGAUUGAGAGUGAUUUAAUAAUCAUCCUACCUUUGUGAAUUUGUUUGUAAUGUUAAAUUUAUGUUGUCUAUCCUUGGAAAGUUUGUUCAUUUAAACCCCAAGGGAAUAGGCUUUCAUAGACCUUUUUUUUAAAAUUAAACAUUUUGUAUUCAUUUGUCUAAAAUUAUUUUUAAAAUAAUUUAAAAACAACUUUUGACAAUGGAUCUCUUGGUUCUCGCAACGAUGAAGAACGCAGCAAAAUGCGAUAAGUAAUGUGAAUUGCAGAAUACGUGAAUCAUCAAAUCUUCGAACGCAUAUUGCACUUUUUUAGUUUACUAAAAAAGUAUGUCUGUUUGAGUAUCAGUAAAAUAUUCUCAUAAAAAAAAUUUUUUUUUUUUAUGGUCAUGAGUGUUUUACAACGAUAAACAAGUUGUUUCACUUUAAAUUGAUUUUUAAAAGCCAAUUUUUUUUGGUUUUUAUCUAAUGAAAUUGGAUAAAAUUUUCCCGUAAAAAGGAAUAAACUUUUCAGUUUUAAAGGGUAAAAAUUAAAAUAUUAAUUGUUGCUUAAUUUAAAAGGAAAAUUUAAUUUAAAAAUAACUUGAUCUCAAAUCAGAUAAGAGUACCCGCUGAACUUAAGCAUAUCAAUAAGCGGAGGAAAAGAAACUAACAAGGAUUCCCUUAGUAACGGCGAGUGAAGCGGGAAGAGCUCAAAUUUGAAAUCUUCAAGGUUCUACCUUGACGAAUUGUAGUUUAAAGAAGUGUUUCUGUUAGAGGAGUAGCAAAAGUUCCUUGGAAUGGGACAUCAUAGAGGGUGAGAAUCCCGUAUUUGGUUAUUCUUUCUAGCUUUGUGAUACACUUUCAAAGAGUCGGAUUGUUUGGGAAUGCAGUCCAAAAUGGGUGGUAAAUUUCAUCUAAAGCUAAAUAUUGGCGAGAGACCGAUAGCGAACAAGUACCGUGAGGGAAAGAUGAAAAGAACUUUGAAAAGAGAGUUAAACAGUACGUGAAAUUGUCAAAAGGGAAGCGUUUGACACCAGUGUUGUUUUUCCGAAAAUCAAUUAAGAAGGGCUUGAUUUUGUGUUGUAUUGACCUUAUCAGCUUUCUUCACUCUUUUUCGAGUCUUUCUUAAUGCACUUUUCGGUUAACAAGUCAACAUCAAUUUCUUUUGUUGUAAAAGGGUAUUUGGAAGGUGGCUUUCUUUUUGGAGAAAGUGUUUAUAGCCUUAUACCUCUACAAUCGGAGAGAUUGAGGUCUGCAGCGUAGAUCCUUCGGGCUAGAUACACUUGUGCUAAGUUAUAGCUUUUCAUAGACAACUUGUUGACUAUGUUUAGUCAUGUAGCUUACCCGCUUGUGCUAUUUACCUACGCUUAGGAUGUUG